rnacentral:misc_RNA from 1 species
AACGCACCUUGCGCUCCUUGGUAUUCCGAGGAGCAUGCCUGUUUGAGUGUCAUUAAUAUAUAUCAAACCAACCUUCUCUUGUUGAUUGGUUUGGAUGUGGGGGUUUCUUUUUUGCUGGCCUGUUCAGCUCCCCUGAAAUGCAUUAGCAGAACAAAAAAAAACCCUGGUUCAUUGGUGUGAUAAACUAUCUACGCUAUUGAAUGUGAGGGGGAAAAGUUCAGCUUUCCAACCGUCCUUUGGACAAUUCAUCAUUAAUGUGACCUCAAAUCAGGUAGGACUACCCGCUGAACUUAA